rnacentral:rRNA from 1 species
CCUACGGGUGACUGCAGUGGGGAAUCUUCCGCAAUGGGCGAAAGCCUGACGGAGCAACGCCGCGUGCUCGAAUGAAGGCCGUUGGGUUGUAAAGAUCUGUUGACAGGGACGAAUAAGCCAUGCGAAUAGUUUGGUGUAUGACGUUACCUUUUUAGAACGCUCGGGCUAACUACGUGCCAGCCGCCGCGGUAAUACGUAGGGAGCAAGCGUUGUCCGGAAUUACUGGGCGUAAAGGGCGCGUAGGUGGGUGCUUAAGUCAGGUGUGAAAACUCUGGGCUCAACCUGGAGACUGCACUUGAAACUGGGUAUCUUGAGGGCAGGAGAGGAAAGUGGAAUUCCUAGUGUAGCGGUGAAAUGCGUAGAUAUUAGGAGGAACACCAGUGGCGAAGGCGACUUUCUGGACUGUACCUGACGCUGAGGCGCGAAAGCGUGGGUAGCGAACGGGAUUAGAUACCCCUGUAGUC